rfam:Isoptericola variabilis 225, complete genome.
GCGCCUGUAGCUCAGUGGAUAGAGCGUCUGCCUCCGGAGCAGAAGGUCGGGGGUUCGAAUCCCUUCAGGCGCA